rnacentral:rRNA from 1 species
UGAUCCUGCCGGACCCCACUGCUAUCGGGAUAGGACUAAGACAUGCAAGUCAAGCGCUUUCUAGCUAAUGUGAGAGCGCGGCGUACAGCUCAGUAACACGUGGCCAACCUGCCCUUGGGACGGGAACACCCCCGGGAAACUGGGGUUAAUUCCCGAUAGGUGAAGAAGUCUGGAAUGACUCUUCGCUCAAAAGACGUUUAUGUCAUGCUCAUAUUCGUCGCCCAGGGAUGGGGCCGCGACCGAUCAGGUUGUUGGUGAGGCAAUGGCUCACCAAGCCUUUUACCGGUGCGGGCCGUGAGAGCGGGAGCCCGGAGAUGGGCACUGAGACAAAGGCCCAGGCCCCACGGGGCGCAGCAGUCGCGAAAAUUUUGCAAUACACGAAAGUGUGACAGAGCUAUCCCGAGUGCCAUCCGCUGAGGAAGGCUUUUACCCAGUAUAAAUAGCUGGGAGAAUAAGGAGAGGGCAAGUCUGGUGUCAGCCGCCGCGGUAAUACCAGCUCUCCGAGUAGUGUGGACGUUUAUUGGGCCUAAAGCAUCCGUAGCUUGUUAGAUAAGUCCUCUGUUAAAUCCACCGAUUCAAUCGUUGGAUUGCGGGGGAUACUGUUUGGCUAGGGGACGGGAGAGGUCGACGGUAUUUUCGGGGUAGGGGUGAAAUCCUAUAAUCCC